ensembl:lncRNA
AUGGAGUAUUCUGACGAUGCUUUUCAUACUUUCCUGGACCUUGACACUUUUAUUUAUUUGGCAGUCUAUGGGACAGUCUCAAGCCUCCCUGUUUUCAUCCGAAAUGUCUUAAAUUGUGUUCUGAAGACAAACAGACCUUUUACGGGUUUGGAACGACAUGGGGAAUCAAGACAAAAUGUUUAUUUUGGGAUGGAGUAUCCCUUUAAUGUGUGUUUGUGUGUUGUGUGUUGCCUUCUGCAGUUUCCCUGCAAUAAUCCUCUGGUUGCUCAGCUGAUGUUGAGGAGAGCUCCAUCACUGCUUCUUUAUCUGCGCUGCAGGAAAUGUUCCCACAGAUCCCUCACAAAGUCAUUGAGGAAUCCUGAUACCAUUCAAACGGUUGGGGUCAUAACAGCAGAAGAGGAGAGGAAAUAUGGCCAAGAAAUGAAUUAUCUCUUCUAG